AGUGAACGCUGGCGGCAGGCCUAACACAUGCAAGUCGAACGGCAGCACAGUAAGAGCUUGCUCUUACGGGUGGCGAGUGGCGGACGGGUGAGGAAUACAUCGGCAUCUACUUUUUCGUGGGGGAUAACGUAGGGAAACUUACGCUAAUACCGCAUACGACCUACGGGUGAAAGCAGAGGAUCUUCGGACCUUGCGCGAUUGAAUGAGCCGAUGUCGGAUUAGCUAGUUGGCGGGGUAAAGGCCCACCAAGGCGACGAUCCGUAGCUGGUCUGAGAGGAUGAUCAGCCACACUGGAACUGAGACACGGUCCAGACUCCUACGGGAGGCAGCAGUGGGGAAUAUUGGACAAUGGGCGCAAGCCUGAUCCAGCCAUACCGCGUGGGUGAAGAAGGCCUUCGGGUUGUAAAGCCCUUUUGUUGGGAAAGAAAAGCAGCAGGUUAAUACCCCGCUGUUCUGACGGUACCCAAGGAAUAAGCACCGGCUAACUUCGUG
rnacentral:rRNA from 1 species